CGACACACUAUCGUUAACUGAAUACAUAGGUUAACGAGGCGAACCGGGGGAACUGAAACAUCUAAGUACCCCGAGGAAAAGAAAUCAACCGAGAUUCCCCCAGUAGCGGCGAGCGAACGGGGAGCAGCCCGGAGUCUGAAUCAGCUUGUGUGUUAGUGGAACGGUCUGGAAAGUCCGACGGUACAGGGUGAUAGUCCCGUACACGAAAACACACUUGCUGUGAACUCGAAGAGUAGGGCGGGACACGUGGUAUCCUGUCUGAAUAUGGGGGGACCAUCCUCCAAGGCUAAAUACUCCUGACUGACCGAUAGUGAACCAGUACCGUGAGGGAAAGGCGAAAAGAACCCCGGCGAGGGGAGUGAAAAAGAACCUGAAACCGUGUACGUACAAGCAGUGGGAGCCUCUUUAUGGGGUGACUGCGUACCUUUUGUAUAAUGGGUCAGCGACUUAUAUUCUGUAGCAAGGUUAACCGUAUAGGGGAGCCGAAGGGAAACCGAGUCUUAACUGGGCGUUAAGUUGCAGGGUAUAGACCCGAAACCCGGUGAUCUAGCCAUGGGCAGGUUGAAGGUUGGGUAACACUAACUGGAGGACCGAACCGACUAAUGUUGAAAAAUUAGCGGAUGACCUGUGGCUGGGGGUGAAAGGCCAAUCAAACCGGGAGAUAGCUGGUUCUCCCCGAAAGCUAUUUAGGUAGCGCCUCGUGAACUCAUCUUCGGGGGUAGAGCACUGUUUCGGCUAGGGGGCCAUCCCGGCUUACCAACCCGAUGCAAACUACGAAUACCGAAGAAUGUUAUCACGGGAGACACACGGCGGGUGCUAACGUCCGUCGUGAAGAGGGAAACAACCCAGACCGCCAGCUAAGGUCCCAAAGUCAUGGUUAAGUGGGAAACGAUGUGGGAAGGCACAGACAGCCAGGAUGUUGGCUUAGAAGCAGCCAUCAUUUAAAGAAAGCGUAAUAGCUCACUGGUCGAGUCGGCCUGCGCGGAAGAUGUAACGGGGCUAAACCAUGCACCGAAGCUGCGGCAGCGACACUAUGUGUUGUUGGGUAGGGGAGCGUUCUGUAAGCCGUUGAAGGUGUGCUGUGAGGCAUGCUGGAGGUAUCAGAAGUGCGAAUGCUGACAUAAGUAACGAUAAAGCGGGUGAAAAGCCCGCUCGCCGGAAGACCAAGGGUUCCUGUCCAACGUUAAUCGGGGCAGGGUGAGUCGACCCCUAAGGCGAGGCCGAAAGGCGUAGUCGAUGGGAAACAGGUUAAUAUUCCUGUACUUGGUGUUACUGCGAAGGGGGGACGGAGAAGGCUAUGUCAGCCGGGCGACGGUUGUCCCGGUUUAAGCAUGUAGGCGGAGGUUCCAGGUAAAUCCGGUACCUUUUAACGCUGAGGUGUGAUGACGAGGCACUACGGUGCUGAAGUGAUAAAUGCCCUGCUUCCAGGAAAAGCCUCUAAGCAUCAGGUAACACGAAAUCGUACCCCAAACCGACACAGGUGGUCAGGUAGAGAAUACCAAGGCGCUUGAGAGAACUCGGGUGAAGGAACUAGGCAAAAUGGUGCCGUAACUUCGGGAGAAGGCACGCUGAUAUGUAGGUGAAGUCCCUGCGGACGGAGCUGAAAUCAGUCGAAGAUACCAGCUGGCUGCAACUGUUUAUUAAAAACACAGCACUGUGCAAACACGAAAGUGGACGUAUACGGUGUGACGCCUGCCCGGUGCCGGAAGGUUAAUUGAUGGGGUUAGCGGCAACGCGAAGCUCUUGAUCGAAGCCCCGGUAAACGGCGGCCGUAACUAUAACGGUCCUAAGGUAGCGAAAUUCCUUGUCGGGUAAGUUCCGACCUGCACGAAUGGCGUAAUGAUGGCCAGGCUGUCUCCACCCGAGACUCAGUGAAAUUGAACUCGCUGUGAAGAUGCAGUGUACCCGCGGCAAGACGGAAAGACCCCGUGAACCUUUACUAUAGCUUGACACUGAACACUGGUCCUUGAUGUGUAGGAUAGGUGGGAGGCUUUGAAGCGUGGACGCCAGUCUGCGUGGAGCCAUCCUUGAAAUACCACCCUUUAAUGGCUGGUGUUCUAACGUAGACCCGUGAUCCGGGUUGCGGACAGUGUCUGGUGGGUAGUUUGACUGGGGCGGUCUCCUCCCAAAGAGUAACGGAGGAGCACGAAGGUUGGCUAAUCCUGGUCGGACAUCAGGAGGUUAGUGCAAUGGCAUAAGCCAGCUUGACUGCGAGCGUGACGGCGCGAGCAGGUGCGAAAGCAGGUCAUAGUGAUCCGGUGGUUCUGAAUGGAAGGGCCAUCGCUCAACGGAUAAAAGGUACUCCGGGGAUAACAGGCUGAUACCGCCCAAGAGUUCAUAUCGACGGCGGUGUUUGGCACCUCGAUGUCGGCUCAUCACAUCCUGGGGCUGAAGUAGGUCCCAAGGGUAUGGCUGUUCGCCAUUUAAAGUGGUACGCGAGCUGGGUUUAGAACGUCGUGAGACAGUUCGGUCCCUAUCUGCCGUGGGCGCUGGAGAAUUGAGGGGGGCUGCUCCUAGUACGAGAGGACCGGAGUGGACGCAUCACUGGUGUUCGGGUUGUCAUGCCAAUGGCACUGCCCGGUAGCUAAAUGCGGAAGAGAUAAGUGCUGAAAGCAUCUAAGCACGAAACUUGCCCCGAGAUGAGUUCUCCCUGAGACUUUAAGUCUCCUGAAGGAACGUUGAAGACGACGACGUUGAUAGGUCGGGUGUGUAAGCGCAGCGAUGCGUUGAGCUAACCGAUACUAAUGAACCGUGAGGCUUAACCUU
rnacentral:rRNA from 1 species